rnacentral:rRNA from 1 species
UAGGGAAUAUUGCGCAAUGGGGGAAACCCUGACGCAGCAAUGCCGCGUGAGUGAGGAAGGGUUUCGGCUCGUAAAGCUCUGUUAAUAGGGAAGAACGGUAUUAUGGUUAAUACCCAUAGUAUUUGACGGUACCUAUAGAGGAAGCACCGGCUAACUUCGUGCCAGCAGCCGCGGUAAUACGAAGGGUGCAAGCGUUGUUCGGAUUUAUUGGGCGUAAAGCGCGCGCAGGCGGGUGAUCAAGUCAGAUGUGAAAUCUCGGGGCUCAACCCCGAAACUGCGUCUGAAACUGGUUACCUAGAAUCUCGGAGGGGGUUGGGGAAUUUCGCAUGUAGGGGUAAAAUCCGUAGAGAUGCGAAGGAACACCAGUGGCGAAGGCGCCAACCUGGACGAGUAUUGACGCUGAGGCGCGAAAGCGUGGGGAGCAAACAGGAUUAGAUACCCCGGUAGUCC